GCGCCUCCUUCUGGCUAAUUGGUCGCAGUAAAGCCUUUUGCAACAGCUGGAGGCACCCUGGUUGGGAAACACUGCACUAUAUAUUAAAGAAAGAUUGUGGAGCGCCCCCUUCUGGCUAAUUGGUCGCAGUAAAGCCUUUUGCAACAGCUGGAGGCACCCUGGUUGGGAAACACUGCACUAUAUAUUAAAGAAAGAUUGUGGAGCGCCCCCUUCUGGCUAAUUGGCUGCAGUAAAGCCUCCUCAGCCUCAUAACAAAAGCCUGGCGGUAAGCACUAAAGUCCGAGGAUCAAUUCA